rnacentral:rRNA from 1 species
AAAUUGAAGAGUUUGAUCAUGGCUCAGAUUGAACGCUGGCGGCAGGCCUAACACAUGCAAGUCGAACGGUAACAGGAAGCAGCUUGCUGCUUCGCUGACGAGUGGCGGACGGGUGAGUAAUGUCUGGGAAACUGCCUGAUGGAGGGGGAUAACUACUGGAAACGGUAGCUAAUACCGCAUAAUGUCGCAAGACCAAAGAGGGGGACCU